rnacentral:lncRNA from 1 species
UGAAAUCAGGUCUAAUCACUGUUACGUAUAACAAUCUCCCUAUAAGUUUUUAAUAUUGUCACGACCCAAAGUACAUCCUAGUCGUAACAUGGCGUAUAGGACCUCGAGAGACCCAAUACAAGUCACUUAGCAUACAUAUACAAGAUAAUAGAAUCUUAAAGAGUUCAAAAGACAUUUGAAUCAUAAAGAGUUCCAUCAAAAACAGAAGUCUAACAUAAGUCUCAAAGCCACUAUUGGAAAGUGAUUGAAACGUAACCCAUACAUCACAAUAUGAAAUGAAAAGAUUUGAAAGCAAUAAAGAAUCUUGGUCCUCGGAACAUGAGGACUCACCAAUCUUCAAUGUCUAUAUGGGAUCACUGGCCACGAGUGUGCGGAAUGGAAGCGUCGGACCCUACAUUAGUGAAACAAUGUAGGCACAAGUAUGCAUUAGUACAUGGAAUGUACUAAGUAUGAUAACAAUGCAUAAAGAGUAAUGAAAUCUUGCUAAAAGGGACUUUAUAUGACAUGCAAUGAUCAAGCUAAAUCAUAAAAUAACAUGUUAGAAGACAUAAGUCGAAAUCAUGGUCAAUGCAAGCUAAACAUCUUUAAAACACAUUUGAGAUACUUCUAGAAGUAACCUUAGUUCAUUCUUGUGGGAAGUUUGCCAUUAACUGACAUAGACCAUGUGAGCUAUAACAUGGAAUCUAGUGUCUAUUCCACAUCGAAAAGAGAUGUCCUUACUUGCCAAGGUAAGAACCAUAAACUUCUAGCUUAGGUGGAUCCACUAGCUAAUCUCUAUCUAAGACAACCUAUGGUGACACAUAGUUAUGUGAUAGGGAGAUUGCUACUAGAAACCCAGCCUCAACUAUGGGAGAGCUUCCAUCUUGAUAUCCUCUCGGUGCUAAUUAAGCAUAAAUCCCACGGAAUAGUCAUUAAUCUUAACUUAUCUUAUUAUCCAUGGAAGGGCACAUGAAGUAGCCAAUCAAAGCUAGAAUUCAUUAUAGCCAAUCCUAGGUGAGAAAACCUUUCAACCUUGUGAAUCAUUUAUGUGAGCAAAUCCUUUCACAAUAACUUCAUAUGUGAGAAAUCCUUUCACAACAACAAUUCAUAAAGAAACAUGCAUAUCUUCAUAAAUUCAUCUUUCAUAUUUCAAAAGCUUCAUCAUAUAAUCAAAAUCCAGAAAAUUAUGGAUCAUGCAUGGGUUCAAUUGCAUUGAACUUAAAAACAUGUAGUUAUCUCAAUUCAUGCAUAAAAAUACAUAAAACAAUCAAUUGGAUCAUAAUUGAGAGCAACCCAUGAAAUUGAAUAAAACCCUAAUUUCAAUUGGAGAACUCUAACUUGUAAUAUUGGAGAAUUUAGGAACCUUAUGGAGGAAAGAACUCCACAGGUGAAUACUAUCAUACCUUGAUGUCAAAAACCCCCAAUCAAUGGUGAAUUUGGAGACUGGAUCCUGAAACCCUAGACUAGUUUAUCAAACAUAUCAAGCCUAUUUAAGAAUGACAAGAAGGUACAUCUAUUAAUUGCCUGUGUAGACUUUGGCCUAUUCAAGAAUGACAAGAAACAACAUGCAUUAAUUAGUUUUUGUACAUUUCGGGUUACCUAAAAUGUUAACAAUAACAUACUUUUUGCAGUCUUCCAACUGGGAUCUUUGAAGGGUAGGAUGUAAGCAGAUCUUACCUCUACCUUCGUAAGUCAGAGACUAAAAAACUCUCGAUUCAAAAGGAAAGUACCUAGGAUACAAAAGAAAUGUAACAAUAAGAGGUUACCUAAAUGUUACUGAUGGUAAUCGUCCAUAAAAUACAAUAAGUUAAAUGCAAUCAUGUAUAGUUGGCUCAUCACUUCGUUUGAGUUGGAUGUUGGUUUGCAACCAUUGCAGGAAGAAUCAGUACUAAGUAAUUAGGAAAAGGAAAUUGAACAGAUAGAGCAACAACAAAAUACAUGUUUUAUCGCAAAUACUUCUUAACUAAAUCAAUCAACAAAGAAAAUAAAAACAACAUUCAGCUGCAAAAUUCUCUUUUGUAUUCAGAUUGCAUAACGACAAUCACAAGAAGCUCAGCUCAAAAACAUAAAAAACUGAAUUGUAUCGCAACUUCAAGCAACAUGAGAAAUUGUAGCUAUAACUUAUAGAACAACCUUGAAUUCCUUAAAAUACCUAUAGAAAUAACCUAUUAUAAUCAAGAAACUCGCCUUGAAACUAUAUACUCAAGUGAAAUCCUCACUAACCACAUAACUGAAAAGUAGCAAUAAGAUGAUUUUCAGUUCACUCGAGUAGCCAACAUGUCUAUAGAUAUGAUUGCACAAGUGUAUAAACAAAUUCGUAACAAUGACCACGAUUUAAUUUUCUGACUGUUCUUCCCUCAUUUCAAACAAAUCAUACUAAUUACUCCCAAACUCCAAAAAAAAGAAAACAAUCAAACCAUGUAAAGACAAAAGCAUAAAGUACCUGUAACAAUUAGCAAAGUUCAAAAAAAAAAAUUCAAUUACAAUACUUAGAAACCAGUAGAACACGAAUUGAAAAUAUUGAUUCUUAAUUUCAGCUUCAAUUCUACAAAAAUUGAAACAAGUAGAAAUAGGAAUUACUUAACAAAUCAUAUAUAUAAAUAUAUCAAAAUAUAUUAAAAACUCGAAGAGAUUUAACUCGAAGCUCCAAUUCUCCUUCAGAAAUUCAUACUAAGAACAACUCUUCUUUCACACACACAUACACUAUCAUAGAAGGUUGUGAACGUGUUCAGAAAUUUCUCAAACUUGUGAGAAAUACCAAAACCCUACCUGAAACGAAGUUGAUGAAGCGAGAUCUUCUUGCUCCUAAGCAAACUAGUAAUGGAUGACCCACUUCUCAAUGGACUCUUCGAUCAAGACCUUCCGACGAUAACCCACACACCACCUCUUCCUUAUAUGCCGAGAAGAAACCUUGUUUU